rfam:Pseudomonas putida S11 PPS11_c17, whole genome shotgun sequence.
UGCUAUGGCAGCUGUGCGCGGGCAGGCUUUGCCUGGCCGGGUACGCGCCUCCAAGUUCGCCGGUUCUCACCUCGUGCAUGGCUGCCACCCAA